AUGGAAGGCCGAGUUCCUUUCAGAGAUAUUACAAAUGUUCACUCGACGACUUCACCAAAAGGGAAUCAACUAGCUGUGGUUGCAGAGCAGAAUGAUCCUUUAGCAGAAACCAAAAACGCUAUGCAAAUGAAUUCUUCCCAGCGUAAGCUUUACCACGACCGGGAUAGGUAUUUGCAAAUGACUCCAUAUCAGAGGGAAGCCUAUCUGCAAAGGAAUCGUGAGUAUAAAAGAAUGCGGCGUGAGUGCAGUGCAAGUUGUAACAACACACAACCAGCACCACAACAGAAAAUUUUGAGAGCUACUAAUAAUAACCAAUACAUGACAGGAGAGGAAGUCAUGGCCAUUUCAAACUAUGAGAGGCACGAUUCAGUUUUUACUCAGCUAGGGUCUUCAUCAAAAGUGGCAGAAAAUGGUGGUUUUGAGACAAGCCGUCCAAAAGCUGGAACUCGGUUCACUAUCAGUCCAUCUGGCAUAUAUUUAUCAUCAAUAUCCUCGGAAGAACAAGCUGCAAAAUAUGAAUUGAAAAAUGUAGGUCAGCGUAAGCGGCAACAUUGCACCAAUGUGUACUCACAACUGUCACAUGACCAAGAAGAAACACACGUACAAGAGAUUUGUGGCCCUAAUAAAAGAAAGAGGUCAGAAAAAGAAAGUUGUAGUACCGCACGGGAUCCUGGUAGAAAUACCAACAACUUGCAUGAAGACAUCAUUUAUGUGCCCCAGGAUUAUUUUCCUGUCGUUCAUGAUUAUCUGGCAAAUACCAAAGACAACAUUGAGUGCGAUGAAGUGGACGAUGAAAGUCUUAUGUAUAAUGGACCAGGUCUUGACUUUGAAUCAUAUCAAGAACCAAAGCAUGUUACAAAAUGUAUACAAGCAGACCCAUAUGAUCGUAUAUAUCAUAAUGUGCCCAGUGGUCAUCAUUUUCUAGAGCGAGUGCCCAACUGUAGACAUUGUAAUGUGAAAAGGUUCCAAUAUGAGACACCAACUUUUUGUUGCAUGAAUGGAAAGGUGAAGAUAGUAACCCCAGUGGUUCCUGACGAUUUGCGUCAGUUGUACACGAGUCAGGAUCCAAAUGCAAAAUACUUCCAAGAUCAUAUACGGUACUUCAAUUCUCAUUUCUCUUUUACCUCUCUUGGUGUCAUCUUGGACCAAAGGUUCUGCAAUAGGAGGUCUGGAGUUUACACCUUUCAUGCACAGGGCCAAAUUUAUCACCGUAUUGACCAGUUGGUUCCAAAAGAAGAUGGCCCCAAGCAUUUACAGUUAUACUUCUAUGACACGGAUGCAGAUUUGCAACAAAGAUUUCUUCACUCGCCUAACUUAAACCAAAUUCUCAUCCGGAAGUUAGUAAAUAUACUUUCAAGUAACCCUUAUGUACAAAUAUUUAGACACCUUGGUUCUAUUCCAAACCUUGAUGAAUAUAUGAUUGAGCUCAAUACAGAUAUUGCCUUAGAUCAGAGAGUAUAUAAUGCUCCGACAACAUCACAAGUAGCAGCAAUCUGGGUCGAGGGAAAUAAUCCUCGAGGUCAUUUUGACAGGAGUAUCAUGGUGUAUGGUAAAUCGGACAAACCACAAUACAUAAAAGCAUAUCAUGGUUGCUAUGAUCCAUUGUCAUAUCCGCUUUUUUUCCCGAAAGGGGAAGUUGGAUGGAACUUGAAUUUACCAAAAGUUGGUCCCCAUGCUAGGAGGACGAGAAAUGAUCAAACAAAUGCUCUCAAUGAAGAAGGGAUGGAAAAGAGCCCUGGUUCUUGUGUGUCACCAAGAGAAUAUUAUUGUUAUAAGUUAUAA
rnacentral:rRNA from 1 species